UACCGAUAUUUCCGAUAUUACCGAUAUUUAAUACCUUGGCCAGAAGACUCGUUUUAGCCAUCUGAUCCUUCAAAAGAAUUAAUAUUUUAAUGAACAUUGCAAGGACAUUUCUUACCAUCUUCAAUCGAGAACCAAAUGGUCAUAGGGCUCGUUUUAGUCAUGUCACAAAAAACCGUUUCUAACCGAUGGCCAAAGGGUCAUAGGGCCAAACAUAAUUUAUUAUUUGAAUUUAAAAACUACAACAACUUAAAUUUAAAAACUACAACUUAAAUUUAAAAACUACAUUAACUUAAAUUUAAAAACUACAACAACUUAAAUUUAAUAUCCAUAAUCAACAUCAUCUUUAUCAUCCGCCAUU
rnacentral:lncRNA from 1 species